GACAGAGGUGCCGAGCGUUAGGCGGAAUCACUGGGCUUAAAGCGUGUGUAGGCGGGCCGUUAAGUGCCCCGUGAAAUCCCCCGGCUCAACCGGGGAACGGCGGGGCAUACUGGCGGCCUUGAGCCACUUAAGGGCAGACGGAACAAGCGGUGGAGCGGUGAAAUGCGUAGAUAUUGGAAAGAACACCGAUGGCGAAGGCACUUUACUGGGCUAUUACUAACACUCAGAGACGAAAGCUAGGGUAGCAAAUGGG
rnacentral:rRNA from 1 species